rnacentral:lncRNA from 1 species
UAAAAUGCUAAUUAGGCAAAAACAGGAGGUAAAGAAAUAGCAAGUCAUCUAUUGCCUGAGAGCACAGUGGGAGGGACAAGGACCAGGAUAUAAACCCAGGCAUUUGAGCCAGCAACGGCAACCUCCUUUGAGUCCCCUCCCUUUGUAUAGGAGCUCUGUUUUCACUGUGUUUCACUCUAUUAAAUCUUGCAAUUGCACUCUUCUGGUCCAUAUUUGUCACGGCUUGAGCUGAGCUUUCACUUGCCGUCCACCACUACUGUUUGCUGCUGUCACAGACCCGCCGCUGACUCCCAUCCCGCUGCUGACUCCCAUCCCUCCGGAUCCGGCAGGGUGUCCGCUGUGCUCCUGAUCCAGCAAGACUCCCAUUGCCACUCCCGAUAGUGCUAAAGGCUUGCCAUUGUUCCUGCAUGGCUAAGUGCCUGGGUUCGUCCUAAUCCAGCUGAACACUAGUCACUGGGUUCCACGGUUCUCUUCCAUGACCCGCGGCUUCUAAUAGAGCUAUAACACUCACCACAUGGCCCAAUAUUCCAUUCCUUGGAAUCCGUGAGGCCAAGAACCCCAGGUCAGAGAACACGAGGCUUGCCACCAUCUUGGAAGCAGCCUGCCACCAUCUUGGAAGUGGCUCACCACCGUCUUGGGAGUUCUGUGAACAAGGACCCCUGGUAACAUUUUGGCGACCACGAAGGGACAUCCAAAGCUAUAUGAAGAAUAGAGCCAAUAUUACAACAAAUAACCUUCAUGCCUGCAAAAACUUUUUCAGCUUAACUAAUGCUUGUGAUGUUUAACGCCUGUCUUUUCAACUUGGUCUACUGAGUCUUCAAUACUGGUGACUGAGCUGCUUGAAGUGAACUCUGGACAAGGUGGAGAGCAUCUUCUUGAUUUAAGAGAGGGGGCACUGGAAUCUGAGUAGCUGCGGUCAGUGACCCAUUCACUUCAUGCCUGCACUAAUGACUCACAAAAAUACCCAGGACCGCAAGACUCAAGUAAGCUCCCUAGGUGGCAGCACUACUAACAUAUUGCCGCACAUUAUUGCUGGGAAGCACAUCUGUGCAACUCCAUUGGGUGACAUCUGAAAGUCUAUACCUAGUUCUCUUAGAU